UACGUAGGGGGCAAGCGUUGUCCGGAUUUAUUGGGCGUAAAAGGCUUGUAGGUGGCCACGCCAAGUCGGAUGUGAAAUCUCCCGGCUCAACUGGGAGGGGUCAUUCGAUACUGGCGGGCUCGAGGCCGGUAGGGGAAGUGGAAUUCCCGGUGUAGAGGUGGAAUUCGUAGAUAUUCGCAAGAACACCAGUGGCGAAGGCGGCUCACGUGGCCCGGUACUGGACGCUGAGGUGCGAAAGCGUGGGGAGCAAACAGG
rnacentral:rRNA from 1 species